AGCAGAUUUUCAUCUCUUCCAAAGCUUCCAUGACAAGUCCUGGCCAAGACUACUGACAUUUAGAAGAGUAGCCUGAGGAAUGAAUCCCCAAGGGAGGCCUUCAGCGAUCCCCAAUGAGGCCCCUCCUAACGGGCCAUCCACAGAGGCUUUCAUUCCUCCUCCUUCAACAGUUCUUUUGCACAUCGGCUUUUCACGGAGUGCAAAAUCCCAACUCAGCUCAGAAGAGCCUGUUUCCUCGCACAUGACCACAGAAGGCUGCAUGCAGAACACCAGAGUGUCUUGAAAGAAAACAACCCCAAGUUGGAAAGAAGCCCCAAAGACUGGAUUAUCCUGGUGUGCUUGGUUCAAGUCACUGCUCACAGAGACUUAAAAGACAAAUGAAGAUGGUGCAGGCCAAGGACCCUUCUUGGCUUCCGGGCUCUGAGUCUGUACACUCAGGUACCAAAUCCUUUGGGGUUAGUGAAUAAUUGCAAGUGGUUGUUUUUUUCCAAUUGCUGUGGGAAAAAAAAUGUACAGUGUAUAAUAAACUAUUCUGCUAAAAUCUCAAAGAAUUCAGAAAUCAA